rnacentral:rRNA from 1 species
AACAAACGCUGGCGGCGUGCCUAACACAUGCAAGUCGUACGAGAAAGUUGGCUUCGGCCGAUGAGUAAAGUGGCGCACGGGUGAGUAACGCGUGGAUAAUCUACCCUUUAGUCUGGAAUAACUUACCGAAAGGUGAACUAAUACCGGAUAAUAUCCCGGAUUCUCCGGAAAUCGGGAUCAAAGAAGGCCUCUGCUUGCAAGCUUUUUCUGAAGGAUGAGUCCGCGUACCAUUAGCUAGUUGGUAGGGUAAUGGCCUACCAAGGCAACGAUGGUUAGCUGGUCUGAGAGGAUGAUCAGCCACACUGGAACUGAGACACGGUCCAGACUCCUACGGGUGGCAG